rnacentral:rRNA from 1 species
AGCCCUUGACAUCCUGUGUUACCCAGAGAGAUUUGGGGUCCACUUCGGUGGCGCAGAGACAGGUGCUGCAUGGCUGUCGUCAGCUCGUGUCGUGAGAUGUUGGGUUAAGUCCCGCAACGAGCGCAACCCUCGCCCUUAGUUGCCAGCAUUCAGUUGGGCACUCUAAGGGGACUGCCGGUGAUAAGCCGAGAGGAAGGUGGGGAUGACGUCAAGUCCUCAUGGCCCUUACGGGCG